rnacentral:rRNA from 1 species
UAAGGUAGCGAAAUUCCUUGUCGGGUAAGUUCCGACCCGCACGAAAGGCGUAAUGAUUUGGAUACUGUCUCGGAGAGGGACUCGGUGAAAUAGACUUGUCUGUGAAGAUGCGGACUACCUGCACCAGGACAGAAAGACCCUAUGAAGCUUUACUGUAACUUGAAAUUGAAAUUGGACUUUAUUCGCGCAGUAUAGGUGGGAGGCGUUGAUUAUAAUCUUGUGGGAUUAUUGGAGCCAUCAGUGAGAUACCACUCUUGUAAUGUUAGAUUUCUAACUUUGAAUCAUGAUCUGGUCAAAGAACAGUUUCAGGCGGGCAGUUUGACUGGGGCGGUCGCCUCCUAAACGGUAACGGAGGCGUACAAAGGUUUCCUCUGAACGGGUAGAAAUCGUAUCUAGAGUGUAAAGGCAUAAGGAAGCUUGACUGUGAGACCUACAAGUCAAGCAGGGACGAAAGUCGGUCUUAGUGAUCUGACGGUACUGAGUGGAAAGGCCGUCACUCAACGGAUAAAAGUUACUCUAGGGAUAACAGGCUGAUCUCCCCCAAGAGUUCACAUCGACGGGGAGGUUUGGCACCUCGAUGUCGGCUCAUCGCAUCCUGGGGCGGUAGUACGUCCCAAGGGUUGGGCUGUUCGCCCAUGAAAGCGGUACGCG